rnacentral:misc_RNA from 1 species
UUAGGGGUGAGCAUUAUUCGGUUUAAAUCGAAAAACUGAACCGAACCUCCUUAGUUUGGUAAUUCAGUUCGGUUUUUGAUAUAAUUCAGUUCGGUUCAGUUCGGUUCUAUAUUUUAAAAAUUUCGAUUAUUUCUGUUCAGUUCGGUUUUUGAGAAAAAAAAAACGGUUUGAACCAAAUCAAACCGAAUAGUAUUUUUUAUUUUUAAAUUAAUUUAUUUUUAUAGGGAUUUUAUGAAUUAUAUAUAUAUAAAUUGUUUA